rnacentral:rRNA from 1 species
AUUGAACGCUGGCGGCAGGCCUAACACAUGCAAGUCGAACGAGUGGCGGACGGGUGAGUAAUGUCUGGGAAACUGCCUGAUGGAGGGGGAUAACUACUGUAAACGGUAGCUAAUACCGCAUACCAUCGGAUGUGCCCAGAUGGGAUUAGCUAGUAGGUGGGGUAACGGCUCACCUAGGCGACGAUCCCUAGCUGGUCUGAGAGGAUGACCGUCCACACUGGAACGGAGACACAGUCCAGACUCCUACGGGAGGCAGCAGUGGGGAAUAUUGCACAAUGGGCGCAAGCCUGAUGCAGCUAUGCCGCGGUUAUGAAGAAGGUCUUCGGAUUGUAAAGUACUUUCAGAGGGGAGGCGUUACUCGCAGAAGAAGCACCGGCUAACUCCGUGCCAGCAGCCGCGGUAAUAC